AAAAAAUCCUUUAAACA
rnacentral:tRNA from 1 species